rfam:Desulfosporosinus orientis DSM 765, complete genome.
CUCGCCGCGAGGCGAGAUCUAAAGAAAGCGGGCGGCAAACCUCCGGACCGAGGACCACGAACCCCAGGUGAGGCUGGCGGUAGUUGGACGAGCUUGCAUUACAAAGCAAAGUCCUUGCUAUCGAAGACUAUCGCUAGUAAAUGGGGCGGGUAGAUGGAGGGAAAGACAAUGUU